GGGCAACAAGAGCAAAACUCCAUCUCAAAAAAAAAAAAGAAACAAACAAACAAAAAAAAAAACCAGAAAGAAAGAAAGGGUCUCACUUAAUGUGACCACCAGUCAUCCAACCAAAAUCAUCAGUUGUCUUAGACUCAUUUUUCUCACCCCCACCUCUGAUUAGCACCAAGUUCUGCCAACUGUGGCUGCUAGAGAGUUCUCAAUCCAUCUCCUUCCUUCCAGCCACCCAACCACUGCUCAUGUUCAGGCACCAUUUUCUCCCCACUGGAUUAUGGCAACAGUUAAUUUUAUGUGUCAACUUGACUGGGCCAUGGGAUGCCCAGAUAAAUAUUAUUUCUAGAUAUAUCUGUUAGGGUGUUUCUGGAAAAGAUUAGCAUUUGAAUUGGUGAACUGAGUCAAGCAGAUGGCCCUCCCCACUGUGCGUGGACUGCAUCCAAUCUGUUCAGGGUAUAAACAGAACAAAAAUGUAGAAGAAGGUUGAAUAUGUGAUCUCUGACUACUUUAGCUGGGAUAUGGAUCUUCCCCUGCCGUUGCUACCCCUGCUUCUCAGGCCUUCAGAUCUGGACUGCAAUCUAUACCAUCGGCCCUCUGGCUCUCAGGUUAUACGACCAGCUUUCCUGGGUCCUCGGCUUGCAGACAGCAGAUUGUGGGACUUCUCAACCUCCAUAUUCACGAAGAAGCACCGUGGGGACUCUCACUGCAAAGAAGACAGACCAUUAUCAACACUCCUCCCCUCUGUUCCCCAAAGUCCCCUCCUGACCGCAGCAUCAAUCUUCCACGCUGGCCGGCCGGAGGUGGUGCCUCUGGCAGAUUUAAAUGAGAGCAUGAAGGUGGGACCUCCAUUACUGGAUUAGUGUCCUUAUAAGAAGAGGAAGAGACCAGAGCUCACUCUCCCCACCACGUGAGGAUACAGUGAGAAGGUGGCUGUCUGCAAGCCAAGAGCCCUCACCCAAACAGAAUCUGCUGGUAUCUUGAUGUUGGAUUUUCUAGCCUCCAGGACUGUGAGAAAUAAAUGUGUGUUGUUUAAACCACCCAGUCUAUGGUAUUUUGUUAUAGUAGCUAGGGCUGAC
rnacentral:lncRNA from 10 species